UGUGUUUGAAUAUUACGUUCAAAAUAAUUUUCUAUAAUAGUUAAUCCGGAUGUAAAAUUGUACGAUCAUCUUUACCCAACAGUAAUUUGAAGGUCGUGCUAUCGACAUAUGAAAAUAUUUGUAUUUUUUUUAUUUAUAAAAUGACGAUUAGAAGCUUAAACAUCUCGACAAAUUAGUACCUAUGAAUAUGACGUAUGUGUAUCGUAGUUAUCGUUUCCACUGUGUUACUAUUUAUCGACUGACCUAGAUAAUUGAAUGUAUUUUUUUCAAAUACGUAGUUAUAUUCUGCGAGAUGAACAAUCCAUAAAAUACUCGUAUCAAAAGUCGAAUAAGUCAAUACAUAAUCGAGUACUGACAAAAUAUAUUUUCUACUGAUGGAGUUGCUUUAUACUGUAAUUUGUAAGUUAUAUGAACAGUAGGUGUUGACAUGCGAUUUAUUAUCAUAAAACCAAGGGCGUCAUUAUAGUUUUAAAACUGGGCCUCCUAAUUUUUAGGCAGGCCAAUUUUGCUGUGCCACAUGUUUACUUAUAAACAAUCAUUGUUUUUUAAAACAAUAAAAUUCAUAGUUUUAGACUAAUAUACUAGCAAAAAACGACAUAUAGCUAUGACAAGAC